UAAAUCCAAUUAGCCAUCGUACUCUGCAACUAAUUUGUGUAAUGUGACAAAAUCUGAGAAGUUCUAAGCUGCAGAUGGAAAUCAAACGUGUCUACUGCCACGUUUAGCUGAAGGAAACAUGUAAAUAAUUUGUUUAAGCUCCAUCAUGUUGGCAGCACAGUGGCAUCGGCAUCUGUCUCUGGGUUCACGGUGGUGAAGAGGAGCUGGAGGAGGGGAUGGAUUUACUCUUUUCUGCAGGAUCAGCCGAACGAAAUGUGCACAGCGGGAACGCUGCCAUGUACGUCCCUUGGUGCACGACAGUACAGCACAGCUGUGGAAGCCACCUAAAAUUUGAUUCCUCUCGCCGUAGCCUGGCAACGGCGGGUAUUAGCGCUCGCAAGCUGGAUGGGUGCAGUUCUGGUGCCAGAGGAUGGGCAGGAUGGGCGCCUGGUUGCAGCUCAUUGGCAGAUGACAUUGAGUGAAAGCUGGCAUUCUGAGAUUAGGGGAUCAGAUGCUCCCAGUGCUCCACGCAGGAAGUAGUAUAAAAUGUAAAAAUCAAUGCCAGGAGGGCUUGACGGGUCCUUGUGUCAUACAUUACACAGCACAUAAACCCACAUCGCAUUCAUUUUUUUUAUUAUUUGUUUAAUUUAUCGAAGGCUGUAAUUUCAUUUUUGGAAGAUUCCCAUAUUUGGGAUGAUAAGUAAAUAUUUGCUCAGCUGAACAAGCCAAAACGUCUCACUCUGUAGCUUGUAAAAGCACUUAAAGAUUUGAGCACUGGCAUCCUUUUAAAGGUCACAGAUUUCACUUUUUUGGUUAUUCUCUAAUAAAAUACUGUUCGAAACAUGCCAAAGAUUUGGAAUCUAGUACGACUGGUUUAAGUAG